GACGAACGCUGGCGGCGUGCUUAACACAUGCAAGUCGAACGGAAAGGCCCUGCUUUUGUGGGGUGCUCGAGUGGCGAACGGGUGAGUAACACGUGAGUAACCUGCCCUUGACUUUGGGAUAACUUCAGGAAACUGGGGCUAAUACCCGAUAGGAGCUCCUGCUGCAUGGUGGGGGUUGGAAAGUUUCGGCGGUUGGGGAUGGACUCGCGGCUUAUCAGCUUGUUGGUGGGGUAGUGGCUUACCAAGGCUUUGACGGGUAGCCGGCCUGAGAGGGUGACCGGCGACAAUGGGACUGCGAUACGGCGCAGACUCCUACGGGAGGCAGCAGGGGAGAAUAUUGCGCAAUAGGCGGAAGCCUGAUGCAGCAACGCCGCGUGCGGGAUGACGGCCUUCGGGUUGUAAACCGCUUUCGCCUGUGACGAAGCGUGAGUGACGGUAAUGGGUAAGGAAGCCCCGGCUAACUACGUG
rnacentral:rRNA from 1 species